rnacentral:rRNA from 1 species
AUUAUCGGCUAUCCUUGUGAUAUUCAAGUCUAUGUUUUUCAUAUACUCCAAAAAUGUAACAGAAUGUAUCAUUGGGCCUUGUGCCUAUAAACUAUAUACAACUUUCAGCAACGGAUCUCUUGGCUCUCGCAUCGAUGAAGAACGCAGCGAAAUGCGAUAAGUAAUGUGAAUUGCAGAAUUCAGUGAAUCAUCGAAUCUUUGAACGCACCUUGCGCUCCUUGGUAUUCCGAGGAGCAUGCCUGUUUGAGUGUCAUUAAAUUCUCAACCUUACCAGUUUUCACAAAUUGGUAAAGGCUUGGACUUGGGGGUUUGCUGGCUUAGGUCUGCUCCCCUUAAAUGUAUUAGCCGGUCUCCUUGUGAAGUCGUCUAUUGGUGUGAUAAUUAUCUACGCCGUGGGCCUUUACUUUAAAUGGAUNGUACUGCUUCUAACCGUCCAUUAACUUGGACAAUCAAUGACAAUUUGACCUCAAAUCAGGUAGG